rnacentral:rRNA from 1 species
GAAUUUGCUCAAUGGCGCGAGCCUGUGGUACCCCAUCCGGGUAUGAAGAAAAGCCUUUGGUUGUAAAAAACUCAGAGGGAGAAAGGGAGUAAAGUUAAUACCUUUGUCAUUGGCGGUUACCGCCGAAGAAACGCCGGGUAAAUCCGUUCUAGCAUCCGAAGUAAUUCGGAGGGGUCAAGCGUUAAUUGGGAUUUGUGGGGGGAAAACGCACGCAGGCGGUUUGUUAAGUCAGAAGUGAAAUCCCCGGGCUCAACCUGGGAAAUGCAUUUGAUACUGGCAAGCUUGAGUUUCGUAGAGGGGGGUAGAAUUCCAGGUUAGCGGUGAAAUGCGUAGAGAUCUGGAGGAAUACCGGUGGCGAAGGCGGCCCCCUGGACGAAGACUGACGCUCAGGUGCGAAAGCGUGGGGAGCAAACAGGAUUUGAUUCCCUGGUAGUCCACGCCU